GUCCACGCCGUAAACGAUGUCUGCUAGCCGUGGGGGUCCUUGAGGCCUCGGUGGCGCAGCUAACGCGAUAAGCAGACCGCCUGGGGAGUACGGCCGCAAGGUUAAAACUCAAAUGAAUUGACGGGGGCCCGCACAAGCGGUGGAGCAUGUGGUUUAAUUCGAUGCAACGCGAAGAACCUUACCAGGUCUUGACAUCCAGCGAACUGCCCAGAGAUGGGCGGGUGCCUUCGGGAGCGCUGAGACAGGUGCUGCAUGGCUGUCGU
rnacentral:rRNA from 1 species